GAUGAACGCUGGCGGCGUGCCUAAUACAUGCAAGUCGAGCGAAUGGAUUAAGAGCUUGCUCUUAUGAAGUUAGCGGCGGACGGGUGAGUAACACGUGGGUAACCUGCCCAUAAGACUGGGAUAACUCCGGGAAACCGGGGCUAAUACCGGAUAACAUUUUGAACCGCAUGGUUCGAAAUUGAAAGGCGGCUUCGGCUGUCACUUAUGGAUGGACCCGCGUCGCAUUAGCUAGUUGGGGAGGUACCGGCUCACCAAGGCAACGAUGCGUAGCCGACCUGAGAGGGUGAUCGGCCACCCUGGGACUGAGACACGGCCCAGACUCCUACGGGAGGCAGCAGUAGGGAAUCUUCCGCAAUGGACGAAAGUCUGACGGAGCAACGCCGCGUGAGUGAUGAAGGCUUUCGGGUCGUAAAACUCUGUUGUUAGGGAAGAACAAGUGCUAGUUGAAUAAGCUGGCACCUUGACGGUACCUAACCAGAAAGCCACGGCUAACUACGUGCCAGCCGCCGCCGUAA
rnacentral:rRNA from 1 species